rnacentral:rRNA from 1 species
GAUUGAACGCUGGCGGCAGGCCUAACACAUGCAAGUCGAGCGGAUGAAAGGAGCUUGCUCCUGGAUUCAGCGGCGGACGGGUGAGUAAUGCCUAGGAAUCUGCCUGGUAGUGGGGGNCAACGUUUCGAAAGGAACGCUAAUACCGCAUACGUCCUACGGGAGAAAGCAGGGGACCUUCGGGCCUUGCGCUAUCAGAUGAGCCUAGGUCGGAUUAGCUAGUUGGUGAGGUAAUGGCUCACCAAGGCGACGAUCCGUAACUGGUCUGAGAGGAUGAUCAGUCACACUGGAACUGAGACACGGUCCAGACUCCUACGGGAGGCAGCAGUGGGGAAUAUUGGACAAUGGGCGAAAGCCUGAUCCAGCCAUGCCGCGUGUGUGAAGAAGGUCUUCGGAUUGUAAAGCACUUUAAGUUGGGAGGAAGGGUUGUAGAUUAAUACUCUGC